rnacentral:rRNA from 1 species
CCUACGGGAGGCAGCAGUGAGGAAUAUUGGUCAAUGGGCGCGAGCCUGAACCAGCCAAGUAGCGUGAAGGAUGACUGCCCUACGGGUUGUAAACUUCUUUUAUAAAGGAAUAAAGUAAGGCAAGUUUGCCUUUUCGUAGGUACUUUAUGAAUAAGGAUCGGCUAACUCUGUGUCAGCAGCCGCGGUAAUACGGAGGAUCUGAGCGUUAUCCGGAUUUAUUGGGUGUAAAGGGGGCGUAGAUGGGUUGUUAAGUCAGUUGUGAAAGUUUGCGGCUCAACCGUUAAAUUGCAAUUGAUACUGGCAGGCUUGAGUACAGUUGAGGUAGGCGGAAUUCGUGGUGUAGCGGUGAAAUGCGUAGAUAUCACGAAGAACUCCGAUUGCGAAGGCAGCUUACUAAACUGCCACUGACAUUGAUGCUCGAAAGUGUGGGUAUCAAACAGGAUUAGAUACCCCUGUAGUC